GAUGAACGCUGGCGGCGUGCCUAACACAUGCAAGUCGAGCGAUUUACUUCGGUAAAGAGCGGCGGACGGGUGAGUAACGCGUGGGUAACCUGCCCUGUACACACGGAUAACAUACCGAAAGGUAUGCUAAUACGAGAUAAUAUACUUUUAUCUCAUGGUAGAAGUAUCAAAGCUCUGGCGGUACAGGAUGGACCCGCGUCUGAUUAGCUAGUUGGUAAGGUAACGGCUUACCAAGGCGACGAUCAGUAGCCGACCUGAGAGGGUGAUCGGCCACAUUGGAACUGAGACACGGUCCAAACUCCUACGGGAGGCAGCAGUGGGGAAUAUUGCACAAUGGGCGAAAGCCUGAUGCAGCAACGCCGCGUGAGCGAUGAAGGCCUUCGGUCGUAAGCUCUGUCCUCAGGAAGAUAAUGACGGUACUUGAGGAGGAAGACCCCGGCUAACUACGUG
rnacentral:rRNA from 1 species